GAUGAAGAACGCAGUGAAUUGCGAUAUGUAAUGUGAAUUGCAGAAUUCAGUGAAUCAUCGAAUCUUUGAACGCACAUUGCGCCCCUUGGUAUUCCAUGGGGCAUGCCUGUUCGAGCGUCAUUUGUACCCUCAAGCUUUGCUUGGUGUUGGGUGUUUGUCCCGCGUUGCGCGUGGACUCGCCUUAAAGCGAUUGGCAGCCGGCAUAUUGGCCUUGGAGCGCAGCACAUUUUGCGCUUCUAGUCAUGAAUGUUGGCGUCCAUUAAGCCUAUACAUUUGCUCUUGACCUCGGAUCAGGUAGGGAUACCCGCUGAACUUAAGCAUAUCAAUAAGCGGAGGA
rnacentral:misc_RNA from 1 species